rnacentral:rRNA from 1 species
UACGGAGGGGGUUAGCGUUGUUCGGAAUGACUGGGCGUAAAGCGCGCGUAGGCGGAUCGGAUAGUUGGGGGUGAAAUCCCGGGGCUCAACCCCGGAAUGGCCUCCAAAACUCCCGGUCUAGAGUUCGAGAGAGGUGAGUGGAAUUCCGAGUGUAGAGGUGAAAUUCGUAGAUAUUCGGAGGAACACCAGUGGCGAAGGCGGCUCACUGGCUCGAUACUGACGCUGAGGUGCGAAAGCGUGGGGGAGCAAACAGG